rnacentral:rRNA from 1 species
GAUGAACGCUGGCGGCGUGCCUAAUACAUGCAAGUCGAGCGAACAGACGAGGAGCUUGCUCCUCUGACGUUAGCGGCGGACGGGUGAGUAACACGUGGAUAACCUACCUAUAAGACUGGGAUAACUUCGGGAAACCGGAGCUAAUACCGGAUAAUAUAUUGAACCGCAUGGUUCAAUAGUGAAAGACGGUUUUGCUGUCACUUAUAGAUGGAUCCGCGCCGCAUUAGCUAGUUGGUAAGGUAACGGCUUACCAAGGCAACGAUGCGUAGCCGACCUGAGAGCGUGAUCGGCCACACUGGAACUGAGACACGGUCCAGACUCCUACGGGAGGCAGCAGUAGGGAAUCUUCCGCGAUGGGCGAAAGCCUGACGGAGCAACGCCGCGUGAGUGAUGAAGGUCUUCGGAUCGUAAAACUCUGUUAUUAGGGAAGAACAAAUGUGUAAGUAACUAUGCACGUCUUGACGGUACCUAAUCAGAAAGCCACGGCUAACUACGUG